rnacentral:rRNA from 1 species
CACGUAGGGUGCGAGCGUUGUCCGGAAUUAUUGGGCGUAAAGCGCGUGUAGGCGGCUUCGUAAGUUGGGUGUGAAAGCCCUCGGCUUAACCGAGGAAGUGCGCCCAAAACUGCGUGGCUUGAGUACCGGAGAGGAUGGCGGAAUUCCCGGUGUAGAGGUGAAAUUCGUAGAUAUCGGGAGGAACACCAGCGGCGAAGGCGGCCAUCUGGACGGAUACUGACGCUGAGACGCGAAAGCGUGGGGAGCAAACAGG